rnacentral:rRNA from 1 species
UACGAAGGGGGCUAGCGUUGUUCGGAAUUACUGGGCGUAAAGCGAACGUAGGCGGUGUUCCAUGUCAGAGGUGAAAGCCUGGGGCUCAACCCCAGAAUUGCCUUUGAAACGGGGACGCUUGAGUCCGAGAGAGGAUGGCGGAAUUCCUAGUGUAGAGGUGAAAUUCGUAGAUAUUAGGAAGAACACCGGUGGCGAAGGCGGCCAUCUGGCUCGGUACUGACGCUCAGGUUCGAAAGCGUGGGGAGCAAACAGG